AUCUAUGGCCAUACCAUCCUGAACGCGUCCUAUCUCGUCUGAUCUCGGAAGCUAAGUAGGGUCAGGCCUGGUUAGUACUUGGAUGGGAGACCUCCUGGGAAUACUGGGUGCUAUAUUUU
rnacentral:rRNA from 1 species